rnacentral:misc_RNA from 1 species
AUUAAAAGAUGUUGUAUUUGAUACAUAAUGGAGCCUUAAUUUGAUAAUUAAAACUCAAUAUACUUUUAAAUUUUAAUUUUUGCCUUUAAUGCGAUGUGACAGCGUGAGAAGUUAAAUUAGGAAGGGCCGGAAAAAGUUAUAGAUAAUACAAGAUUAUGCAAAAGACAAUGAAAUUCUACAAAGGAACUACAGAUAAUAAUUUUACAAGAAAUAAUGCAAACUACAGAUAACAACUAAUUAAUUAAUAUUAGAUAUACUACAAUUAUUCUACAAUUAGGUACUACUAUAAAAAAAUAUAUGAACUAAAUUGCCUUGCGCGGCAACAUCCUCCCGCCUCGUUGAAAGGAAGCUCUUUCAACCUUGAAGAUCUUCAGCAGUUGGUAGAGGACAGAGGCGCACAAGUGGCCGCCGUACGCAGCCUCUAGUGGUGGACAAGUCCGCGACCCUGGAUACGCCGUCUGGACCCGGGAACAAACGCGUCACUCGCCCAAGCCUCCAGCACAGCGGAGGGACGUGGUCUUCAUGGAUGAGAACCAAAUCACCGACGUUCAGCUUGGCCUUGUUGGUUCUCCAUUUGGUUCGCUGUUGUAUUUCUGAAAUGUAUUCCCUCUGCCAUCUUUGCCAAAAAUGCUGAUACAUUUUUUCUAUGCGUUCAUAUCGUUGCAGGGUGUUCUCGUUGUGGUUGUCAAACGCCUGUGUCGGCGGCGCAGUCAAAGGUCUUCCGAUUAGGAAGUGUCCUGGGGAGAGGGAGAGGAGAUCGUCAGGGGAUGAUGACAUGGGACAUAAAGGGCGACUGUUAAGUAUCGCCUCCACUUGCGUAAACAAAGUUAAAAGUUCUUCGAAUGUGACAUGACUGUUGCCCAUGACACGUUUUAAAUGGUAUUUAGCGGACUUAAUGCCACUUUCCCAGAUCCCGCCGAAAUGUGGCGCUCGACUUGGUGAGAAUACAAAUUUAAUAGUUUCUUGAGUGGCAAAGUCAGACAGAGACUCCCGAUUGGUUUUUAAAAAUUGCCCUAACUCUUUGGCAGCGGCGACAAAAUUUCUACCAUUAUCGCAAAAUAUUUCCGCUGGCUUACCUCUUCGUGCAAUAAACCUUCUAAGCGUCAUUAUAAAUGCAUUUUUGGACAAAUCACUUACGGCCUCUAAGUGGACGCAUUUGAAACGUAAGCAGACAAAUAAGCAAAGGUAACAUUUUAUGAGUUUACUGCCACGACCUUUACGGUUUAAUAUUUGAAAAGGACCGGCGAAGUCCAGACCGACAGAGAUAAACGGGAAAUCUGGGUCAAUUCUCUGAGCUGGGAGAUUACCCAUCAGAGGGCAUAAAGUUUUGCCGCUAACGCGUCGGCAGCGCGUGCAGUUGUCUACCGUGCGCCGAGCGAGCCGCCUUCCAUUUAUAGGCCACACUCGUUCCUUGACUAGGGACAACAACAAUUGAGGUGGCGCGUGCAUAUUUUUGUUGUGCUCGUGAACAAAUAUAAGUUUUGUAAGUCGAUGGGAUGCAUGGAGUAAAAUUGGGUGUUUCUUUUCGUACGAGUAAUUAGAGGCAUCGAUUCUGCCACCGACUCGGAUUAACUUCUCGCUCAUAAAAGGUGACAACGAUAAAAUUUUAGCUUUGGGACUUAACAAUUUAUUUUUACUAAGAGUUUCGUACUCUGUGGGAAAAGAAUCGACUUGAGCCAUUACACAUAGUCCGUUGAAUGACUGGCUCAGCUCAUCUACGGUUAAAUUUCCCAGCCGUUUAUUUUUAGUGUUUCUCGAAUUAUAAAUGAAUCUGUGAACAUAAGCAAAGGAACCCAGCAGUGCGGCACAGAGCUCGAGACGUACUAUCGUCGUGGGCUUCACAGGUGAGAUUUUAGACUUACUGCAUAAAAGUUUUACAGUGACGUCACCGUUUGCAGCAACAGACCUCAUAUAAACGCAACUGCCGUAGGCGACUUGUGAGGCGUCGCUGAAAACAUGCAUUUCAAUUGAUGUAGGCGAGUCACAUAUAACUGGCCUGGUUAUAUUUAAACCUUGAAUAAAAGGUAAGUUGUCAGCAAAACUAUUCCACUCUUCUUUAAUGAUAUCUGGGACUGGUUCGUCCCAGUCAAGUUUUUCUUUCCACAAUUUUUGUAAAAGAAUUUUAGCUUUUACUAUGCAAGGGCUAAUCAAACCUAAAGGGUCAAAAAUUUUAAACGAAUUUGACAUUAUGUAUCUUUUAGUAAUUUUUUCAACAGAAGGAGGAGUUUUUGUAGGAAAAUUAAACGUGUCAUGCGUAGGACUCCACCCUAGUCCGAGAGUGCUCGAGGACUCACUUAUAGUUAAAUGUUCAUGGAUGUUUAUGCUUGAGUCCACGAACAAAGUAGGUAAGUUACUCUUAUAUUUUCGUAAGUUAAAACAUCCUAAUCUCAAAGCCUCCGCGACUGACCUUUGUAUGUACCGCAGUUCGUUUUCGUCAUUAGAUCCUGUAAUAAGGUCGUCUACAUAAAAAUCCUUUUGUAUUAUAGUUUUUAUGAGCGGAUCGUGCUGCUCCUCCCCGAGCUGCGACAGGCAUCGAGUGCUUAAAUAACUCGCGCUUGCGGUGCCGUAAGUAAGAGUAUUUAAUCGUAGCGUUCUAAGGGGCUCGGACUCAUCUCCUCUCCAAAUAACAAGUUGCAAGUCCCGGUCUUCAGUAUUCACUUGAACCUGGCGGUACAUCUUCUCGAUGUCGCCAGACAAGAUAAACCGGUACUGCCUUGCCCUCACGAGAAUGGAAAAGAGAGAAUCCUGAACAUUUGGCCCAGUCAUUAAAAUGUCGUUUAAGGACACUCCGGUGGAGGAGGCAGCGGAACCGUCGAAUACAACGCGGAGUGCAGUGGAUUCGCUAUUUUUAAACACGGCGUGAUGACAUAAAAAAUAACCUGGGGUAGGUUUUAAAAUUGCUGACUCACUGAGAUGCCCUAACUCGGCAUAUUCACGAAUAAAUUCCGAAUAUUUAGACUUUAACGCCGGAUUACGCUUGAAUUUGCGUUCUAAAUUUAAGAAACGUUUUUUAGCUGAAUUAUACGAAUCCCCGAGACAACCAGGAGAUUCGGUUAAAGGCAAUUUGACUUCAAACCUGCCGUUACUCAAGCGUACAGUGUGAGUCAUGAAAUGUUUCUCGCAUUCUUGCUCCCUUGGGGUAAGAAAUGGUUUAUUGGGAACCUGUUCAACCUCCCAGAAUUUAACUAACAAAUUCUCAAUAUUGUUUUCUUUAUUACUAUUUUUAGAUAUUGCAUUAAAAUUACAAUGAAUUCUCCCUUUGUUAUUUAUUACAUUAAUUGGACCUGAUAUUAACCAACCUAACCGUGAAUUUCGCAAAUGAGGAUUUUUAGGCCCCAAGGAGUGGUGUUCACUACCCAAGAGGUCCCAGAAAAUGUCUGCUCCAAUUAAAACUUCAAUUGAAGCCGGGUGAUUAAAUUCAGGAUCUGCCAAUGGUAAAUUUUUAGGAAUAUUAAGAUCUUUAAUAUCUAUUACACAUUUAGGUAUAUUACUUGUAAGCUCCUUUAGAACAAAGCAUGAUAAGUUAACUUUAAAUGAAUCAUUUAAUGAAUUUAUUUGAGCGAUACAGCUUUCAGUUAUGUUAUUGUUGUGAUUAUUACCGAUACCUAUGACCUUUAGACAGUCACUGGGGUAUGAUUUUAAUGACAAUCUUUCUUUUAAAGAUUUCGUGAUAAAGGAGGACUCGCUACCACAAUCUAAUAGGGCACGGACCUUUUCCUUUUCAUUAGUGCUAGGGUUCACUACUUCGAUAACCGCUGUGGAGAGAAGUACUUGAUUGGAUCCUAAAUUGGAAACAUUAGCCGCAGACGAGACUGAGCUUACAACAACUGAAUUAUUGACAACACUCUGUUUAGAUUCAUGCAACAAACUAUUGUGUUUUUGCUUACACUCUCGGCACGGACCGAAGCGGCACUCGCUUACUGGGUGGCCUUGCCUGAGACAAUUGGCACACAAUUUGUAUUUGGUCACGUCUGCUAACCUAUCUUGGAUGCCUUUUUUAAUAAAGAUAGGACAUUCAAAAACCUUAUGAUUUUCGCUGCAUAUAAUACACACAGAAGUGAAUGACUUGACUUGAUUUGAAUUUAAAGAGCCUUUUGUUUUUUGAUUAAUACCUACAAAUGAUUUUGUAUGAUUAUUUCGUUUAUGAUUAUUGUUACUGUUAUUACUAGAGGUAGGUGCAGAGGGCGCUGGCCGUGAGAUCACUGGUAAGUAUUUAACAUUAUUAUCAUAUUUAUUACGAUUGAGUGCCUCUAAGACAUCAGCACGAUCAAUUAAAAAUUUAUGAAAUUGAUCCAAAGUCGGGACAUCAUCGAGAGUGUUACGGUACUCCUCCCACUUCACCAGAGUCCGGCUAUCAAGCUUAGAGGACAACAUAAAAAUUAUCAAGACAUCCCAUCUAUCAGUCGGCUGGCCUAAGCUAGCCAAGGCACGUAAGUUUUUAGUGACAUGAUCAACCAAAAAGCGUAAAGACCUUUCAGACUCUCGGGUGUGAGCUUGUAUAUUAAACAAAGAACUUAAGUGAUGAUUAAUUAAUAAUCUUUUGUUAUUAUAACGAUCUCCGAGAAGCUGCCAGGCCUUCGCAUAGUUAACCGAAGACACUUCCAGGUUGGAUAUAAUCCGGGCUGCAUCCCCUUCCAGAUAGGAUAUAAGAUAAUGAAAUUUGUGUAUAGCUUUUAUACGAUCAUUGUUGUGAAUUAAAUUUUCAAAAGUAUCACGAAAUUCAAGCCAGCGGAAAUAUGCACCAUCAAAUUUAGAUAUUUGAAUUUGAGGUAAUUUAAACCCUAGGUCCUGAUGGUCAUGAGAACACUGAGCCUCAACAGCGAUUGAGUUACGUCGCUCGGUCUCGAGAUUAUUUUGCCUAUCAAGUAUGGACUUAGCCAUAGCUAUGUUUGAAAUUAUAUUAUUUUCAGAGGCCUCACGCUCAUCAAGCUCCGCAGACAAAUUUUCAGAAUUAAGAAUCUCAAUCUCACUUUGUAUUUCAUCAAACUUCAACGAUAAACUCUCAAAUUUAUUUAACUUUAAACUUAACUCGGCAAGGGAUAUAUUUGAAAUCUCCUCUUGCGCAUUAAUUGUAAUUAAAUAAUUUUUAAAUUUAGUAAUCUGUCCCCUAAUUGAACUUCUCAUUGUAAUUAAAUUGGUUAAUUUAUCUUGAUGAGUGAGACUUGAAUGCUUAUCGGACUUAGACAUGUUUAAGCAAAAUAAGUUUCAAAAAAUAGUCAAGAAAAUAUAAUUUAAAAAAGUAGGUAUUCUCACGCUCCUCAAUAGGUCACUGGGAAAGUGGCAGGACAGCUGAUCGAGAUCGUUAACUCGUAAACAACUUGUUUAUCCUGGAAUAAUUCAAAUAUUUUAUGUAGAUAUUUAAUAACAAUCUAAAUAUUUUAAUAUGAUGCAAUAAAUUAUUGUUAAUCACAAACAAAAGGCUAAUUUCAUCUAACUAUGCAUUAAAAAUCUUGUAUUAUUACUUAUUAUUGUUUAACAAGAAAUUUAUAUUAUUAAUUAACAAAGAAAUGUAACUUUAUAACUUGUAAUUUUAUUUAAAAAAGAAAAUGUAUUAUAAUUUAUAACUAUUUAAUUACUGUUUUAAACAUGGGCCACCAUUUAUUUAAACAAUUAGAAAUAAGACUGUAGAUUUAAGAGAAAAAUAAGUUAGAUGCUUGGUACUUGUUGGUUAAAGUACUUUAUUGAAGCAUCUUUUAAUGUAUUUAACGCUGAUUUUGUAAAUUAAUUUUAAUAAUUUACGCAAGCGGAGUGAUAUUAACACUAAAUAUGUAGUUUUAAACCUUCCAAAAGAAAAUUGUUUGCAAUUUUGACAAAAGGAUAGGUAGGUGAAUUGAUUAGGAAGAACAAAGGAUGGACACUUAUCUUUGCAGACUGCGCCGCACGAGUUGGUACUUUAGAUAUACCAUGCCUCUAGCUUCAUCGAAGUCCAGAUCAGUUUUGCUCCAGCCUUAAUAUUUGUUCUAUUGUUCCAUUUGUUCAAUCUUCUUGCCUUUGUUGCAUGAGCACCACGUGGCGGUGCCGGUACGAUUUGCGUUAUUUUUGUUAAAUUUAUGCAAUUAUUGACGGAUUCCCCUCAUGGGCCACCAAUUUAUGUAUUUGAUACAUAAUGGAGCCUUAAUUUGAUAAUUAAAACUCAAUAUACUUUUAAAUUUUAAUUUUUGCCUUUAAUGCGAUGUGACAGCGUGAGAAGUUAAAUUAGGAAGGGCCGGAAAAAGUUAUAGAUAAUACAAGAUUAUGCAAAAGACAAUGAAAUUCUACAAAGGAACUACAGAUAAUAAUUUUACAAGAAAUAAUGCAAACUACAGAUAACAACUAAUUAAUUAAUAUUAGAUAUACUACAAUUAUUCUACAAUUAGG